rnacentral:rRNA from 1 species
UACGUAGGGUGCAAGCGUUUGUCCGGAAUUAUUGGGCGUAAAGGGUGCGUAGGCGGUCGGGUAAGUCUGAUGUGAAAUCUCACAGCUUAACUGUGAAACUGCAUUGGAUACUAUUCGGCUUGAGAGUUGGAGGGGGGACUGGAAUUCUUGGUGUAGCAGUGAAAUGCGUAGAUAUCAAGAGGAACACCAGUGGCGAAGGCGAGUCCCUGGACAACUUCUGACGCUGAGGCACGAAAGCUAGGGGAGCAAACAGG